CUGGUUGAUCCUGCCAGACCCGACUGCUAUCGGAUUGGGACUAAGCCAUGCGAGUCAACUCCGCAAGGGGUGGCGCACGGCUCAGUAACACGUAGUCAACCUACCCUGGGGACGGGGAUAACCUCGGGAAACUGAGGCUAAACCCCGAUGGGCCAUGGCUCCUGGAAUGGGCUAUGGCUGAAAUCUACAUGGCCCCAGGAUGGGACUGCGGCCGAUCAGGUUGUUGGUGGGGUAAUGGCCCACCAAGCCUAUAACCGGUGCGGGCUCUGAGAGGAGGAGCCCGGAGAUGGGCACUGAGACAAGGGCCCAGGUCCUAUGGGGCGCAGCAGGCGCGAAACCUCCGCAAUGGGCGAAAGCCCGACGGGGUCAGUCCGAGUGGUUCCCGCUGAGGGAACCUUUUGCCAGCUGUAAACAGGCUGGCGAAUAAGGGGUGGGCAAGUUUGGUGUCAGCCGCCGCGGUAAUACCAGCACCCCGAGUGGUCGGGACGAUUAUUGGGCCUAAAGCAUCCGUAGCCGGCCCAGUAAGUCCUCCGUUAAAUCCAACGGCUCAACCGUUGGGCUGCGGGGGAUACUGCUGGGCUAGGGGACGGGAGAGGCGAGGGGUAUUCCCGGGGUAGGGGUAAAAUCCACUGAUCCCGGGAGGACCACCAGUGGCGAAGGCGCCUCGCUAGAACGUGCCCGACGGUGAGGGAUGAAAGCUGGGGGAGCGAACCGGAUUAGAUACCCGGGUAGUCCCAGCCGUAAACGAUGUAGGCUCGGUGUUGGGCUGCCUCAGUGGCAGCCCAGCGCCGCAGGGAAGCCGUUAAGCCUACCGCCUGGGGAGUACGGCCGCAAGGCUGAAACUUAAAGGAAUUGGCGGGGGAGCACCAC
rnacentral:rRNA from 1 species